GACGAACGCUGGCGGCGUGCUUAACACAUGCAAGUCGAACGGAAAGGCCCUGCUUUUGUGGGGUGCUCGAGUGGCGAACGGGUGAGUAACACGUGAGUAACCUGCCCUUGACUUUGGGAUAACUUCAGGAAACUGGGGCUAAUACCGGAUAGGAGCUCCUGCUGCAUGGUGGGGGUUGGAAAGUUUCGGCGGUUGGGGAUGGACUCGCGGCUUAUCAGCUUGUUGGUGGGGUAGUGGCUUACCAAGGCUUUGACGGGUAGCCGGCCUGAGAGGGUGACCGGCCACAUUGGGACUGAGAUACGGCCCAGACUCCUACGGGAGGCAGCAGUGGGGAAUAUUGCACAAUGGGCGGAAGCCUGAUGCAACAACGCCGCGUGCGGGAUGACGGCCUUCGGGUUGUAAACCGCUUUCGCCUGUGACGAAGCGUGAGUGACGGUAAUGGGUAAAGAAGCACCGGCUAACUACGUGCCAGCAGCCGCGGUGAUACGUAGGGUGCGAGCGUUGUCCGGAUUUAUUGGGCGUAAAAGGGCUCGUAGGUGGUUGAUCGCGUCGGAAGUGUAAUCUUGGGGCUUAUCCUGAGCGUGCUUUCGAUACGGGUUGACUUGAGGAAGGUAGGGGAGAAUGGAAUUCCUGGUGGAGCGGUGGAAUGCGCAGAUAUCAGGAGGAACACCAGUGGCGAAGGCGGUUCUCUGGGCCUUUCCUGACGCUGAGGAGCGAAAGCGUGGGGAGCGAACAGGCUUAGAUACCCUGGUAGUCCACGCUGUAAACGGUGGGUACUAGGUGUGGGGUCCAUUCCACGGGUUCCGUGCCGUAGCUAACGCUUUAAGUACCCCGCCUGGGGAGUACGGCCGCAAGGCUAAAACUCAAAGGAAUUGACGGGGCCCCGCACAAGCGGCGGAGCAUGCGGAUUAAUUCGAUGCAACGCGUAGAACCUUACCUGGGUUUGACAUGGAUCGGGAGCGCUCAGAGAUGGGUGUGCCUCUUUUGGGGUCGGUUCACAGGUGGUGCAUGGCUGUCGUCAGCUCGUGUCGUGAGAUGUUGGGUUAAGUCCCGCAACGAGCGCAACCCUUGUUCACUGUUGCCAGCACGUUAUGGUGGGGACUCAGUGGAGACCGCCGGGGUCAACUCGGAGGAAGGUGGGGAUGACGUCAAGUCAUCAUGCCCCUUAUGUCCAGGGCUUCACGCAUGCUACAAUGGCUGGUACAGAGAGUGGCGAGCCUGUGAGGGUGAGCGAAUCUCGGAAAGCCGGUCUCAGUUCGGAUUGGGGUCUGCAACUCGACCUCAUGAAGUCGGAGUCGCUAGUAAUCGCAGAUCAGCAACGCUGCGGUGAAUACGCUCCCGGGGCU
rnacentral:rRNA from 1 species